UCCGGCAGAUAAGAUAAAUGGCCAGGGUGAACCCACCCACUUUCUCACAGAUGCUGUGCGCAAGCAGAUCUCUUGCCUCACACUUCAUUAUUUGCAGCUUCCAGAGUCACUUUUAAGGUUUCAUGAUGUGGCCACCAUGAACAUCGUCGCGGCUCCUAAAGAACUGGCCCUCUGGGAGUUCCAUGUCCACCAAGAAUGACAGCGUCGGCAAAGGCGUGGCCGACUAGGGCAUCGCAGAGGCUCCCGCCCUGUGCCCACUUCCCAGCCAGCCCCCACGCCCCCAAAAACUUCAUCCCAGAUCAGCAGGAAGCAGAUACGGAAGAAGAAAACGCCGCCCCAAUUCCAUAACAAAAUGAAGGCUGGGAUGUUAGGUAUUUCAGAUCCCCCACAGAGUUUUCCCCCUGCCCCACUCCGGCCACAGGGAACAGGGAACUUCCGCAUAACUAAGGCAUGACCUCCCUUUGUUAGUGACUCCCUGCCUAGUUAAGGUCUUUCUGCCCCGCCGGUUUCGUGGUCAGAUGUUCCAGUAAGAUAGAGGCUUCCCGAAAGCAGUGACUCCAUCCCCCUGACCGAAACCUGUUGCUACAUACCCCAGCCCCAAUCACCCAGCCCCACCAAUGGCCUAGUGCUCUCCCACCUGCAAGAUCCCUAUAUAAGCUUCCAGCUCAACCCAUGCAGUUGCUGGUCUCCACUCUGUGAGUCAGCCCGGCAGGCUGCAGACUGUCGCCCCAAUAAAGCUUGCUUGAACGUCCGUGUGUGCCCCCCUUCUUCGGCGACCCUUUCAGUCCUUAUAAAGUAUGUACCUGAAGAAUUCUACUUAAACAUCAGUGAAUAAUUUUAAAGGCAGAAGAACAAGGAAUCUGUCUCUCUCAAACAUAUAUUUUUCCAGAGUCUGCAGUCAGCCACUGUGCUCUUCCUUGAGAGACCUUGAACCAAUAAGAAUGUGCUAAGGUUCUCAAGUCAGCAGGGGAAAAGCUGAGAAGCCAGGUACUGAGGAGAAGAAAACUGAAACCAAGAGGGCUCAUGCCAGUGGCAAGGUUAAGAGGAUGACUCAAGGUUAAAAACAUCGAAAAGGGGAAGCCCGGAUGCAGCCAAACCCUGUCCUCAUCAAAGGAACUGUCAUGUGCCCCCGAUCUGCUAAGUACUCCAGAAGGAGUGCCAGAGGAAGUACUCAGCUGCUCAACUCAAGAUUGAAAAGCAAAGGAAAAGGUUCUUGCUGCUGUCCCAAAACAAGUGAGUGAUAACAAGAACUGCAGUCCCUGGCAGAAGAAGGGUCACGCUGUAUUUAGAUCUUAUUCUACUAAAGUCGUGCCUCGAAAGCUAUUGUACUGCAACAAAAACCCUUCAACCAGCAUGUGGGAAAACUGAGCUAGCAUCACUCCUGGCAUCACCCUGGUCAUCAUAGCUGGGCUUCAUAAACCCCAGAGAGUGGUUUUCCCAAAGCAGUUGAACACGGCUUGCUACAUGUAACUGCACCUCUGUCACUCAGCUGAGUUCUUCUAUGUAGAACACACCAGAAAUUUGUCAUCACUACCUUCCCCAAAUUGACAUUAACAAUGUGAAAAUCACAAAACAUCUCAGUGAUGCUAACUUGAAGAAGAAGCAGAAGAGUCCCUACUCCAGAAAGGUAUAAGAAGACUUUGACAAUGAGAGAUGGGGCAAAUUGGAAUAUUUUAUUAUGAUGGAUCCUAGAGAACAAAUGGCCUCUUGCAGCUCAGGAAGCCACGUGUACACUUCACUAAUCUAAGAGGUCUGCUCAGAAGUUGAAUAGAAGAUAUUUUUUAAAGGGUAGGCGAGGAGGAGUAGAGGAGCUUACAAAAUAGAAGAAAAAAAUGUGCACUUGUAUACAGGAAGGAAGCUACAUGUCCUGGAUUUAGUACUCUAAGUAGAUGGUUAGCCCCCAAAGGGGAGGUAAGUAAAGAGCUAUGACUAUAUAGCAUAGUCAGAAUCAAGGAAAACCAUUCUUUUUUGUAUCUGAACUGGAUUAAAUGCAUUAACAAGUAUAUUUUAUCUUCAAAAAGUAAAACAUGUUACUUGAUAGUGAAAAAUGUAUAAGCAGGCAAUGGUAUUUGGAAGAUUCAGAUAAGAAUUAAGUUUACAAAUUAAAUAUUCAUGUUUUAUUAUUUUUAAUAAUAAACACAUUUAAGUAUGAAAAUACCAAAGGUAGGAAGGAAGAACAAGAAGGUAGCAUACAAAGUCCAAGUCUUCAUACUUCCACAGGAAUCUCAAAGUAAUAAAGUAAGAAACCAGAACACUUUAGGGACAGUCUAGUAUACAGGGAAGAGAUUUCAGUACCCCCAUGAGGCACAAAGUCAAGAGAAGUUGCAAGGAAGAACUUAUGAACAAUUUGUUUUACUUCAAUCAGCCCCUCCCCAAGCCAGCAGAGCUGUGAGAUGAAAGAGGUUGUCUUAUUCUGUGAUCGCAGGAUUUAAAGUGAAACUAAGGUGGCAAAAAUGUGUACACUGAAUACUACAAAAUAUGUGAAAGAAAUUAAAGAAAAUACACAUAACUGGAAAGCUAUGCCAUGAUCAUGGAUUGGUAAAGUUAAUAUUGAUAAAAUGACCACAGUUUUCCACAAAUUCAAUGUGAUCGCCAUUAAAAUCCCAAUAUUUUUAGAAAAAUCAAUUUGGAAUUUCACAUAGAAUCACAAAAGACCCUGAAAAGCAAAAAAUUUUGAGAAAGUAGCACAAACCUAAAUAAAUAAAACAUUAUGGUACUAGUAUAAAGACAAAACUACAGACCAAUGGAACAGAAUAAAGAUACCAGAAAUAACCUAUACACAUGUUGGUUUAUCAAAGGGUGCCAAGAACAUACAAUAAAAUUGGUCAAGGAUAGAAUCCUCAAUACAUGCCUUUGGAAAAAAUGGAUAUUCAUAUGCAAAAAAUGAAGUUGGACCUGAUCUUACAUCAUCCAUCAAUAAAAUCAAUUCAAAAAAAUUUAAAGAACUAAAGCUAUAAAACUCCUAGAAGAAAACAUGGGGUGAAAUGUUUUGACAUUGACUAGUUUUAAAACAUUUGUUGAAUAAAACAGCAAAGGCACAAACAACAAAAGUGAAAUUAGACAAACUGAAAAGCUUCUGCAAAACAAAAGAAAUGAUUAGAGUGAAAAGAAUGGGGAUAAAUGCGCACUCUAUAAAUCUAUGAAGGAUUAAUUCCAAAAACAGGUAAGAAAUUCACAGAACCCAGUAGCUAAAAGUGUAGUGAUCCUAUUAAAAUGGAUUAGGGUUUGAAUAAUCAUGUCUCCCAAGAAAACAUCCAAAUGAUGAACAGUUAUGUGAAAAUAUACAUAAUAUUAUUAUCACCAGGGAAACAUAAAUCAAAACCAUGUGAGAUAUCAUCAAAUGUCUGUUAGGACAGCUACUGUUAAAACAAAACAAGAGAAAAAUAAAAGGUAAUGUUGGAAAGAGUUAGAAAAUUGGAACACUUUUACACUAUUAGAUUGUAAAACAGACAACUUGAAUGAAGAAUACUAUGAAGGUUCUUCAGAAUAUUGAAAAUAAAACUAAUCUGUGAUCCAGCAAUGGAACUUUUCAGUAUAUGCCCAAAGUAAUUGAAAUUAAAAUCCUGGAGAGAUAAUUGCACUCUCAUCCUUGUUCAAUACAGCAUUAUUCACGAUAGUCAAGAGAUUGGAAAAAACCCUACACAUCCAUCAAUACAAGAAAUUACUGUUUAUACUAUAUAAUGGAAAGUUAUUUAGUCUUAAAAAUAAAGGUUUCUUAAGAGUAUGGCUUCAAUAUGGAUCCAUUUAGC